rnacentral:rRNA from 1 species
AAUUUUCUAAGGAUAAAAGGAAUUUUUUUUUUGAAUUUAUAUUUUUGUUGAAAAUACCAAUAUAUUUUAUUAGACUAAAAGACCCUAGAAUUUUUGUCGACUUUUCGACUUUAUUGGGGUAAUAUAAGUAUCUAAAUAA